UACGGGGGGUGCGAGCGUUGUCCGGAUUCACUGGGCAUAAAGGGCGCGUAGGCGGCGUGACAAGUCACUUGUGAAAUCUCCGGGCUUAACUCGGAACGGUCAAGUGAUACUGUCGUGCUAGAGUACAGAAGGGGCAACUGGAAUUCUCGGUGUAGCGGUGAAAUGCGUAGAUAUCGAGAGGAACACCAAUAGCGAAGGCAGCUCGCUGGGACGUUACUGACACUAAGGCGCGAAAGCGUGGGGAGCGAACAGG
rnacentral:rRNA from 1 species